CAAGACUUAUACGAAAGUUUAGUCUUCACUUUUCUUGUCUUCAAUUUGCUUGUCUUCUUCUUUUCACUAAUAUUGUAUAAAAAUUAUUAUAUUGUCAAUAUAUAUAACAUAAAUGUAUACUAUUUCAUAAAUAAAAAAUCUUGAGACAUAAUUUGAGUUAAGAGAGCACAUCAAUUUUGACUUGUCAGCCAUCUCAAAUAAACUCUUUUCUUCAAUAGAAACGCGUCAUUUGUUUCAUUCUUCAUAUUUCUCCUUUUAGUUAUUUUGUAUGGAAGCUAGGGGUAAACUGCGACGAAUUUGCAUCCAAUGCAACGUUAAGUGGGGUUUGGACAUAAGAAUAGUGAAAUUCUAGGAAAAAAGUGAAAAACAUUUUUAAGUUAAAAAGUUACUUGAAAAUUAGAGAUGUUUUUGGACAUGAAUACAAUUUGAAGCUGUUUUUUAAUUUUUGCGAGUGAUCUGAAGUGAAUUUUGAAAAAAUAACCUUUGAGAGUUUUUCAAAUUUUCGAAAUUUUUUGAAAUUCUACUUUAAGUGUGAAUUUAUCCGAAAAAAGUGAUUUUUUUUAAAGAGUAAAAUAUUUAUGUACGUAAAUAUGCAUAAUACUAUUUCAACUUCUCAUUAAGGCUAGCUUACGUGAAACUCUCUUUUCAUUUUCUUUUUUGUUCAUUUUUUCAGAAAAAAAAAAAAGCCUACAAGGAAAUUGGCUAUUGUAAACCAUAAAAGUACGUAUCAUCCUUCAUAUAAAUAUAGAGGGUAUAAAAGAACCGAAACCCUUCCAUUUUUCAAUUUCAGGAUAACCAUUUGAUAGAUACAUGGGGGAGUAAAAAGUAAAAUUCAGAGGGUAUUUUUCAAAGUUAAAAAUGAAAGCUAAGUGAAGAUCUACGAAAUUUUAUAAAGAUAAAAUGAGUGUUUCAUAUUUUUUCUUUUAAAAGGAAAACAACGAAGGCAAACCGCGAAUGAUACAUGAGGACCCUUUCUGAAUUUCUUCUGUUAAUUUUCCAGGAAACAACGAGCCCUAAUUGGGAAACCUAGAGGCAUAUGUAAGAUUUAAGCUUUACGGGUUCAAAAUUUAAGAUUUUUAGAGUUGAAAUAUUUUAUAUACUAUUUAAUAUUAUGGGUUCAUUGAUCUACAAAUUGUUAUAAAUUUUGUACACAUAAAUUUAUGUAAUUGUAGAGCUACAUCUGCCUCUGCUUUCACCGUGUGAAUAUGUCCUUGAUUUUAUGAUUGGUAUUGACCUAUAUGUAGCCGCAUAUCUUAAAAAGAAAAAAAGAUCAGAAGAUAUUUAAAGAAAUUAAAGAUGAUACAGUCAGGCCUCUUCUCUAUAACAUCAUCCCUAUAUAACAACACUUAACUAUAAAAGUCAAGCUUUUCCGGAACCAAUUUUCAUGUUAUGUUUAGUAUAUGUUCUCUAUAACAGCACUUUGCUAUGACAUUCAAAAAUAUUUGGAACAAACGAGGCUCCUAUAGAAUGGUUUAACUGUAGUUUGCUAAGUUUGGAGAGUAACUAGUAUUCUGAAAUGAGCAUGAUAGGUCCAAAUAGCAUUUACUGAUGAUAAUACGAGUUUAGAUAGGGUUAGAAUAUUAAAAAAAGCUGCUGAUCAACUAUUAAGUGCAUGCAGGCUGAGGAAGAAAAAUAACGUAAAAUAACAUAAUUAAUUAACGUUGUUAUAUAGGACGCACUUCAAUUCAGUGACAAGCCAAGUAAAUCAAGAAACAGUGCAAGUUUAGGACACGAGGUAUAUAUGGCAAACGACCAGUCGUGGUUCUGGAAUACAAGCUAUGGGUUCACGGGAAUGAGUAGUUUUUGCUUAAAUUUUGUAUGUGCGCUAAACUGUCUCACUAAAUAUCUAUAAAUAUUUGAUCCUAAUAAUCCUAAGUAAUGACUACUUGAUAAGUUAUUGAUGAAGUGAAUCUAUCAUUGCAGGAGAUGGUGAAGUUAGAAAUUUAAGACAGUCUUGGCUUAGAAUCCUUGUACUUGUUCGUUUCAUUGCCGUGGCCAAAAUAGCAGCAACACCAUCUGCAUCCCCUCUCACGAGCGAUUAUGUCCAGGCAAGUAGCUAUUUCCUCAUGUACAUAUUGGUGCUAGAAUACUGUUCCAACAACGAACACCUUCCUACCGCUAGAUAAAACUGGUUUUCCUCUAAAAUUCACUCUAUAUCCAAAGAGCAACUAUUCAAAGGUCUACGAAUAGUAUUAUUUUAUGUUAAGGUUUUAAGAGUGACAUGGUGUUUAAGAAAGAAAUAUAGAUUGAUACUUUUAAACUUGUGACAUAAAAUGAGUCUAUAAAAUCAUAUCAUUAAGGGUAAAAAAAAAAAGUUAAAAUAUUUCUAAUAUAAAAAGUGUGAUCAUUUUAGAAAAUUAUUAAAAAAGUGUAUCAUAUAAUAUGGGAUGGAGAGUAUAAAUUAAGGAUGAGAUAGGCACUAUGCUGAUCAAGGUAUAGUUGAAGCAAUUGACUAGAAUAAGAGAAAGCACCUAAACAUAUAAAUACUUAUGUAUUAAUGCUAUUUAUGUAAGCCAAGUUGGAAGAAGCCCGGAGAAGUAUAUUUUCCUCCAUCUCUCUUCAAAAUAAAAUGAUUGGCCGGUUGAAAGUAAUCCUCAUAGUUUCCAGCAUCAUUUAUAUACGAAAAUACUACAAUCUCAACUUAGGUAAUUCUUCCUUCACUCAAACCACUUCUAAUAUAGAGCAGCACUAGCUAAGAAGCUACAUAAGUUUUUAACUCAUAACAUCCUUAACGUAUACUCAUAAGUUUAGCUAAAUAGCGACACUUCAAAUUACAGUACUUUGACAAACUCAAAUGCAAGAGUCAAAACACACAAAAUACUUACAUUUUUACUAUAAAAACAAUGCAAAAUGCAGAUAGAGGAGGAGGGAUUUUCAUAUUUCGAUAAUUAAAAAUGAGGCUAACCCUUUCUAUUUAUAGCCAAAGAAGUUAACUCCCAACGGUGCAAGGGUGCAUGUUUGUUGAUAAUGUAUCUAUUCAGCAUAAAUUGUUUGAAUUUCUGUUGAAUGGAAUGUUUGGUCUCGAAUUAGACCGUUGAAAAAUAAUUUCGCUAAUUUCCAAAUUUAUGUGAAAAAAUAUUAGAAAAUAAAAUAUUAAAUGAUGAAAAAGGAAAUUAAAUUUGGUCCUAGAAAUUAUCAAUCAAUCAAAUCCGAUGGCGAAGCCGAGCAACGAUGGCGGCGGCGCGAGGCUUGCUCUCCUCUAAACUCUUUAAGAGCAAGAAGAAGUCAUUUCAUAUAUAAGCACAAGAAUUUAUGAACAAGAAAUUGAUAUGCCUUACUGUUUGUUGCAUAUCGUAUGAAAACACAAUCAAUGAUUUUUGGUUUAAUUUUUACCCUUUUGGGUUUAGGGACAUGUACUUUAGCCAAACAAACCCCCCCCCCCCCCNNNNNNNNNNNNNNNNNNNNNNNNNNNNNNNNNNNNNNNNNNNNNNNNNNNNNNNNNNNNNNNNNNNNNNNNNNNNNNNNNNNNNNNNNNNNNNNNNNNNNNNNNNNNNNNNNNNNNNNNNNNNNNNNNNNNNNNNNNNNNNNNNNNNNNNNNNNNNNNNNNNNNNNNNNNNNNNNNNNNNNNNNNNNNNNNNNNNNNNNNNNNNNNNNNNNNNNNNNNNNNNNNNNNNNNNNNNNNNNNNNNNNNNNNNNNNNNNNNNNNNNNNNNNNNNNNNNNNNNNNNNNNNNNNNNNNNNNNNNNNNNNNNNNNNNNNNNNNNNNNNNNNNNNNNNNNNNNNNNNNNNNNNNNNNNNNNNNNNNNNNNNNNNCCCACUUUAAAGUAUUUUAAGUUAGAUUUUCUUCCUUUCUAUUUUUUAUAUUUAAUGGAUUAUGUUUUGCUAUGGGUAACCCGAUUGAGUAUUCAGUUAGCCGUAAGAAUAGCUUCCUUCACAAGUUCUGAGGUAAACCGGAACUUAUUGACAAGGCAUUCAUCGCCUCAUUUAACGUUCUAUUCCUUUUUUAUGCAAUUCCAUUAGAUUGCGGUGAGUUAUAAGGGGCAAUUGUUCGGUGAAUAAUGCCAUAUUCCAAACAUAUUUCUUCAAAAGAAGAUCUAUAUUCGCCACCCCGAUCACUUCUUAUCAUUUUGAUCUUUUUGUUUAGUAUUAAUUAUUAAGUAAGUAAAAUAUAGCAAUAUCUAGUACUAUCGUCAAUAGAAGUUAUUAAAUUAAAAGCCUAUAUUAAUUAUCGGUAUAGUUAUAGAUAUAUAAAACCUACUAUCUUAUUAAAAUAUAUACAGUACGGCUCGAUUCAGUUAGUUUAACCUAUUUUUAAAGAUACAUCGACACCCCCAAUAAUUAUAACAAGUACUUAACAUGGAGAUUUGAAACUCUUUCUUUCCUUAUUUUUUCUGCAACGGUGAAGUAAUUGAUCAUUUAUUUGUGUUGUUCUUGUAGGAUUUAGAAAGAGGACCAACUACUGACGAUGCAGCACAUGAGCCUCUGGAUGAUAAAACUUGUGCUGAGCUGCAAGUUCUUCAAAGGAAUAACAUUAAUCGUAUCGUCCAAGAGAAGAACUGGGAUGAGCUUAAUGACUUCGGAGGAGUCAUUGGAGUUGCAGAAGAGUUGGAUAGUCACCUGGAAAAUGGAAUUGAUAGUGACACUAAAGAUAUGCGUCUGCGCAACGAAUCGAUCAAGUUUCCUCAAACUUGUGUACCUCUUGUAUUCAUGUUCUUGCGUGAAGCAUUCAAAGGCUGGACUAUUUCCUUGCUCGCACUGAAUGCAUUACUUUCUCUUGCCUUUGGAAUUUUCGAAGAAGGGAUACAGAAGUGUUGGUUCGACAACAUGAUUCUGCUUUUAUCCGUACUCGGCCUGGUAAAGUUUAAGUUGGUGUGGAUAUACUUGGAAACAAAAAAAUUACUGAAGAAGAUGGAGGAGCGUAAAACGAAGAUAUUGAGGGAGACAAAGGAGGUCCAUGUUAUUCGAGGAGGAAUCGAGGGUCUGGUUCCAUGCUCUGAUCUUGUUUCUGGUGAUAUAAUCUGUAUAAGGAGAGGAAACCUAAUCCCUGCAAAUGGGUUAUUUGUUUAUAAUUGUGGGGAAGCGUUAGAGGUAGGAGAUAAUGACGAUGAUGAUGUGAAGUUGUUUAUCAGUGAGAAGAACCCAUUUUUGUUAAUUGGUUCCAAAGUGAUUGAGGGUGAUGCUAAGAUGAUAGUGACAUCGUCUGUUGGCGAUGAGGCAGAAUGGACUGAAAGAAUGAGAAGAGCAAUAGCUGAAACAUCAAAUAAAGCUUUCGGUUUUGGUGCUUGUUUUGAGAAUUUGCGUACCACGAUUCAUGUUGUUGGGCUUGUCAUCAAUAUUCUAACCCUUGUGGUUUUGUUCGUGCGCUUUAAAUUUGGGCAGAAAGAUAAUGAGUACGGACAGAGACCAGAAACUAAGGAAGAACCAGUUGAAUUUAGACGGAUAGUAAAUUCCAUCAGAAAAUUUGUUAGAGAUCAAUCCAAAUUGACAACCUUGCUUUGUGUUUCACUGGUGGGGAUGACGGAAGGAUUACCUCUCGUUGUAGCAAUAGCAAUUGCGUAUUGGAAAGGGAAGAUAAUAUCAAACAAGGACUAUUCCAAAGUUAAUGUAGCAUUGCUCCUCGAGGCAGAGUCAUCAGUUACUAUUAUUUGUUCCGCAAAGACCGGUUGGUUAGCACAGGAGAAUCAUCAGGAAGUUGUCAAAGAUGCUGGUGAAACUCUCACAGAAGGUGAAGUGAAGAUCAUAUUUGUCUCAGAAGAUGAUGUUGAUGAACUUAAAAACGUCGUCUGUGAAGCUGGGUUGGUUAAUAACCUUAACUCCGACGAUACUCUGGUGAUUAAAGGUGAGGAUUUUCAUCAAUUAACUGAUGAGGAAAGGAUGGAGAAUGUAGAUAGAAUCUGCAUAAUGGGAAAUUCCUCACUUACUCACAAGCUGCUUCUGGUAAAGUGUUUGAAGCGAAAAGGCAAAAGCGUUCAUGUGCUUGGCGAAUGCAUAGCUGAUGGUUUGGUAAUCGAAAAGGCAGACUUUGGCCGGUAUAUAGAUACUUGGAGUUUUGAUUACCUGAUAGGUAUGAUCAAGUUUGGAAGAUUUAUUAGUGGGAAUAUGAGGAAACUUAUCCAAAUUGAGCUCAUUCUGACUUUUGCUAGUUUGUCAAUAAACUUGAUCUCAGUUAUGAUUACAGGAGAUGCUCCGUUAACAACUCUUCAGUUAGUCUGGCUCCAUUUUCUUGUUACAUUUCCUGGAGGUGUAGCAUUGCUCUCAGGAGUGGAGGAUGAAAUGUUAGUAAUUAGACGACGUAAACCACUAAUAACAAAGGCAAUGUGGAGGAACAUAAUAAUUCAAGUUACUUAUCAGGUUGGCAUCUUUGUGGCCUUUCAAUGCAAAGGAAAAGACAUCCAUAGCAUCAGUAGUCAAGAGAUUAAUUCCAUAAUAUUCAACGCAUUUGCUCUCUGCCAAUUGCUCAACAUAUUCUGUGGCAGAGAGCCGGAGAAGAAGAACAUCUUUAACAGUCUUGGUUAUAAUUAUUGGUUUUGGAUAGCGGCUGGAUUUUCUCUUAUUUUGCAGGUGGCAGUUGUUGAGGUAGCACCUAUAUUUAGCAACAGUUGGCGACUGAACUGGAAGCUAUGGGUUGUAUGCUUUUUAAUUGCUGCAGCUACAUGGUUCUUUGAUUGGGCAGGAAAGUAUGCAUCACAACUGCUUCUUCGUCUAUGUGCAUUAGCCUCAACUGUGGAUGAGUAAUUUACACGUUUUGCAUUACAGAUUCAUGUAAAUUUGUGAUUAUGAGAUUUGUUUGCCCGGGGCGGCCGACGAAUUUUAUGGCCUAAAGCCAAAUUUUACGAGGCUUUAAUUUUUAUUUUUUUUAAAUUAUUUAUUUGAAGUCUAUUUUUAUAAUUUUUUUUAGAUACAAAGUUGUUAAUAAUUUUGUUAUAAUCAAUAACUCUUAAUAAAUAUUCUCAAUUGAUAAUAUAGCUAAUUCAUUUAACCUUUCUUGUGACAUCUUAGGUUCGAUUUAGAAAAAAUAAAAGAAAGGGGCCAAAAAAUAUCGACAUAACAAAAUGUUGAAAAUCGAGAUAACAUUUUGCAAACACACCACACAAUGUAAAACUUAUAUCUCUAUUUUUGUGCAAUGGAAUAAUUAGCAGAGACAGAGCUAUGACUUAAAGUUUAUAUGUUAUCGUGGAAUCGGCCAUAUAUAGUUUGUCUUAGUUAUUGGACUCAUAAUUAAAUAUUUAUGAAUAUAUUUAAUAAAUUUUCUACAAAUAUAUUGUUUAAGCAAAAGUGACUGGGUUCAAUCAAAUAGGCACGUAAUAGGCUAAUUCCGCCUCUGAUUACAAAGUAUAACUAAUGUUAAAGACGUAAAAGAAAUUGUUUACUUUACCUCAUAACAUAUGCAGGGAACAUCAAGAACAAACGUUUUCAAACGACCUCAUGAAUGUCGGCACGCCAGCUACAAUGCUGCAAAUUUUAAUGAAUAUCAAGAUAAAUGAAAAUGUUGAUGAAGUUAAGAACUUACAAAAUAUAGAAGGACGAUCUAUUUAAACUGAAUUUUUUUUUAAAAAAAAGCAAGACAUAAAAACUAGAACCAAGUGAGUGCAUAUUAAUCGAUGGUUAAGUGAUAAAAAAUUGUGUAAAAAUAUAUAUCAUGCACUUGUUAAUUUAAAAUAAAAGUAUGAGUUGCCAAUAAGCUGUUAACGCGCGCGCACCGAAUAUGAAUUGAACUUACAACAGCUGCCGACUGCUUUAAUAAUGGGGCAAAGAGUCGGUCAACAUACUACGGCGCAGGUUAGUAAAACAAGCAUAAAGUCAAAUGAAAAAUUAUCACUAUUUUAUUGUAACAAGGAUCGAUCCAACAUAAUAUACUGAAGAUUAAUGUACCAGUGUAUGAACUUCCAGCAUAUUAUGCCGGAACUCCAACACGCAGAAAGUUCCAACAUAAUAUACUGGAGAUUGGAGCAUAUGUGUAUGAACUUCCAGCAUAUUAUACUAGAACUCCAGUAUAUUUAUGCUAGAGUUCUAGUAUACUUAUGUUAGAACUCCAUUGUAAUAUGUUGGAGUUCCAGUAUACUUAUGCUGGAACUCCAGUAUAUUAUACAACAAUAACAACAAUAACUACCCAGUAUAAUCCCACAAAGUGGUGUAACUCCAGUAUAUUAUGCAGAAGUAUUUUUCGAAUUUUAAACAGUAUUUUCGUUCAAAUUUAUCUUUAGCUGAAAAAUGGCUAAAUUUUAACUUCUUUGAAAAUUAUGUCUAUUUUUAAAUGUCCAUUUUUAAAUUUUACUAUUUUUGAAUUUCUCCCCGGGUUAGCAUAGCAGGCCCUACCUAUUUUUGGAAGACACAUCCCUAAUGAAAGACCAAAACGCUCCUAACAAUUAUGUCCUAACUAAGUUUCAUGUGGGCGUUCACUACGAUCUGCAGGUCUUUCCCUCAGACUAUGUUUCAUGUUGGCGUUACCAUAAUUCACAAGUCAAUUUGUGAGAUUCAUUGUUUACCCUCCAUGUUGUUUAGAGUAUUUGUGCCAAUUGAAGUUUGCAACUGCUUUUUUGUUUGUGUGCGCCUCUAAGCUCUUAAUGGAAAGUAAUCCAGCCUCACGCCAUCAUUCUAUUAUCACCAUAUCUUUUAUGUUAACCUAUAGGCUCUCGUACCAAUUGUAGAGCUGAACUAGCCUAAAAAUACUUUUAAUGUAAUGUGAUAUUGUUUAUUUUGGACUAAGUCACGUGAUUUUUCUAAAGGAUCUCAUAUCAUUAAAAGUAUCUGACACAUUAUAUCUAACUUCCUAAUUUUUUUAGCUAUCAAUAUAAGUUAUGUUUUAUAUUACCACACAAAUAUUUAAGAUCAUAAAUUUUAAAAUUCGCGUCUAAUCAAACUAUGUCACAUAAAUUGAUUGUCUUAAUUAGCCCGUGGCUUCUUCCCCCUGCUGUGAACUCCUAUAUCUAAUUGCAAGUGCUCCCUCUGUCUUUCUUCCUUACAAUGAAAAUUGUAGACAUCAUCUAGCAGUUUGAGAAAGUGCAGAGAACAAUCUCAGUCCGUUGUGUCUUUAGAAAACAAGUUAAAUACAAAAAGGGAAGAGCUAAGCUAACAAGAAUGAACAAGAGAUGAGUCUUCAUAAAAGAAAGCAGAGAAUUAGAUAUCUUUACCUUAAAAUUGUGCAAUAUAAUGGAGAGUGGAAGCAGGAAAAUAUAUCAAAGGAACUGCUAUCUCUGCUCAAACCCAUGCAUGAAAGAGUUUCAUAAUAGAUAGAUUGAAAAUCGUUAAUGAAGUGUUAAUUAGAAACACGAUUGAGUCAAUGUAGGAAGAGGUAGACUUGGAGAGGAAGAGGAACACGAGUCGUCUUACAUAGUUAAAAAGUCUACGUCCAUUACAGCACAAAGGU
rnacentral:lncRNA from 1 species